rnacentral:rRNA from 1 species
AGAGUUUGAUCCUGGCUCAGGAUGAACGCUAGCUACAGGCUUAACACAUGCAAGUCGAGGGGCAGCAUUUUAGUUUGCUUGCAAACUAAAGAUGGCGACCGGCGCACGGGUGAGUAACACGUAUCCAACCUGCCGAUAACUCGGGGAUAGCCUUUCGAAAGAAAGAUUAAUAUCCGAUGGUAUAUUAAAACCGCAUGGUUUUACUAUUAAAGAAUUUCGGUUAUCGAUGGGGAUGCGUUCCAUUAGGCAGUUGGCGGGGUAACGGCCCACCAAACCGACGAUGGAUAGGGGUUCUGAGAGGAAGGUCCCCCACAUUGGUACUGAGACACGGACCAAACUCCUACGGGAGGCAGCAGUGAGGAAUAUUGGUCAAUGGCCGAGAGGCUGAACCAGCCAAGUCGCGUGAAGGAAGAAGGAUCUAUGGUUUGUAAACUUCUUUUAUAGGGGAAUAAAGUGGAGGACGUGUCCUUUUUUGUAUGUACCCUAUGAAUAAGCAUCGGCUAACUCCGUGCCAGCAGCCGCGGUAAUACGGAGGAUGCGAGCGUUAUCCGGAUUUAUUGGGUUUAAAGGGAGCGUAGAUGGAUGUUUAAGUCAGUUGUGAAAGUUUGCGGCUCAACCGUAAAAUUGCAGUUGAUACUGGCGACCUUGAGUGCAACAGAGGUAGGCGGAAUUCGUGGUGUAGCGGUGAAAUGCUUAGAUAUCACGAAGGACUCCGAUUGCGAAGGCAGCUUACUGGAUUGUAACUGACGCUGAUGCUCGAAAGUGUGGGUAUCAAACAGGAUUAGAUACCCUGGUAGUCCACACAGUAAACGAUG